AAUUAAAUAAAAAAAGUGGAAAGAGGAAUUAGGGUAAGGUUUGUGACGCAUCAGAUUCCCUCUUAAGGACUCAUCUCUCUCUCUCGCGCGAAAGCACAGACGGCGGCCGGAAUUGUCGUCCCGUCUCCGAUUGCUCACUCCGCGUCACUCUCGAUCACUCUCUGAAUCAAGUUAUCCCCACCUCAAUCUCUCUCAAUCUCGAAUCUGCUCUCAAACUUUCUCUGCUAUCGAUCUCAAAUCGCUAUCACUCCGAUUUCCUCUUCUUCUUCCGUUGCUUCUCCUCUCCAUUCAAUCUCUCUCGGUUCAAGUUUCAAUUCGUUUCCGAUUUGACUCAACUCUUUCCGCCACAAUCUCUGCUUCAACUCCGAUUUGAUAUACCGGAGAAUGUUUGACGCCUUUUCCAUGGUACCGACGAGGAGAAAACUCCACCGUUAAAGACAGGUGAUUGGAGAAUCAGAGGAAGCUGUGUGAUGGUUGAAUCGUGAGAGGAGAUUGAAGAAUGAAGGUUAUUGAUGACAAAUGCGAUGCGGUUCUUGCGAUGAUUCGUAGAUAAAGGUUGUGAAGCUGCAAUUGUUGUUCUGAGAUGUAAAAAUCGUUAGAGUCUUGAAGAUUAUUACGUGAAGGUGUGAUUGAAUGAAGAAUCGGUGGAGAGUUCUUGGAGAUUGAAGAAGCGAUGAAGAUGAUGAGAGGAAGAUGAAGAUUCAAUGGUGGUGAUGAAUGAAUGAUUGGUUAUGGUUCUUGCUACCGGUUCCCUUUGUUGUGCCGGCUUUUGUUUAUUUCUUCUUCUCUUCUUUUGUGAAUUCUGUCUUGGUUUGAACCGGUUUCGAAUUAUCGAGUUGGCUUGAACUUAUGCGUGAAGAGUAUUUGAACCGGUACAAUUUCCCAUUUUGCAGGUUGAGCACAUGGUUUUAAAAACAAAGAGUUCAUAUGGUAUGAAAGAACUUAGCCAAGAAGAAUUGAUCCAAGAUUCUGAGCAUUAUUUAUAGAAUUUAAGAGAAAUAUCUUUUCAAAAAGUUAGGACCUAGUGUUGAAUGAUUGAAUUUGAAUUAUUGAUGUAAUGAUGGACUAUUGGUGGAUGUAAAUUGUAAUGAAUAUGAUUUUGAACAUUCUUGAUUCUUCUCUUGUAAAGAACUUCGAACGUAAUUCUAAUUUAGAUUACUUCGAACAUUAAUCAAUAAACUCUAAUCAACUCUCCAUUUCAAUGAAACUUGGUUCACUUGGUAAAUCUUCGCUUCUAAACUUCGAUGACAACUUUGAAUCCUUAACCUUAAUUCUCAAAAUCUCAAUUAACUUGUGAUUGAAGUAAUAAGUAUUUGAUGAGAACCAGAAAAUGUAUUGGCCAAAGCAAGUGAACAAGUCAAUCUCCUAUGCUACUGCACUUGUAUUUCAAAACACCGCAACAACAAUGCAUCGAAGAACCCUUGAAGAAGAAAAUAUUUGAGGCGUAGGGAAAACCUCAACAUAUAAGCCAAUUAACCUCAAUCGAACC